rnacentral:rRNA from 1 species
CAAGGAAUCUUCGGCACUGGGCGCAAGCCUGACCGAGCAACGCCGCGUGGAGGACGACGGCCUUCGGGUUGUAAACUCCUUUCAGCGGGGACGAAACGGACGGUACCCGCAGAAGCAGCCCCGGCUAACUCUGUGCCAGCAGCCGCGGUAAUACAGAGGGGGCAAGCGUUGUCCGGAUUUACUGGGCGUACAGCGCGCGCAGGCGGUCUCUGACGUGCCGUGUGACACGCCACUGCUUAACAGUGGAAGGCCACGGUAGACGCUGAGACUGGAGGCAGGGAGAGGGAUGUGGAAUACCCGGUGGAGCGGUGAAAUGCGUAGAGAUCGGGUGGAACACCAGCGGCGCAGGCGGCAUCCUGGUCCUGUACUGACGCUGAGGCGCGAGAGCGUGGGGAGCGAACCGG